rnacentral:rRNA from 1 species
UACGGAGGGUGCAAGCGUUAUCCGGAUUUACUGGGUUUAAAGGGUGUGUAGGCGGACUUUUAAGUCAGCGGUGAAAUCUCCGGGCUCAACCCGGAAACUGCCAUUGAUGCUAUUGGUCUUGAAUGUUGUUGAGGUGGGCGGAACGGGUCAUGUAGCGGUGAAAUGCAUAGAUAUGACCCGGAACACCGAUUGCGAAGGCAGCCCACUAAGCAACGAUUGACGCUGAGGCACGAAAGCGUGGGGAUCAAACAGG